rnacentral:rRNA from 2 species
CGCGCAUCUAUCUGCAGUCGAGCGAAUGAUGAGGAGCUUGCUCCUCUGAUUUAGCGGCGGACGGGUGAGUAACACGUGGGUAAUCUGCCUGUAAGACGGGGAUAACUCCGGGAAACCGGGGCUAAUACCGGAUAAUAAGAGAAGAAGCAUUUCUUCUUUUUGAAAGUCGGUUUCGGCUGACACUUACAGAUGAGCCCGCGGCGCAUUAGCUAGUUGGUGAGGUAACGGCUCACCAAGGCGACGAUGCGUAGCCGACCUGAGAGGGUGAUCGGCCACACUGGGACUGAGACACGGCCCAGACUCCUACGGGAGGCAGCAGUAGGGAAUCUUCGGCAAUGGGCGAAAGCCUGACCGAGCAACGCCGCGUGAGCGAUGAAGGCCUUCGGGUCGUAAAGCUCUGUUGUUAGAGAAGAACAAGUACGAGAGUAACUGCUCGUACCUUGACGGUACCUAACCAGAAAGCCACGGCUAACUACGUGCCAGCAGCCGCGGUAAUACGUAGGUGGCAAGCGUUAUCCGGAAUUAUUGGGCGUAAAGCGCGCGCAGGCGGUCUCUUAAGUCUGAUGUGAAAGCCCACGGCUCAACCGUGGAGGGUCAUUGGAAACUGGGAGACUUGAGUGCAGGAGAGAAAAGUGGAAUUCCACGUGUAGCGGUGAAAUGCGUAGAGAUGUGGAGGAACACCAGUGGCGAAGGCGGCUUUUUUGGCCUGUAACUGACGCUGAGGCGCGAAAGCGUGGGGAGCAAACAGGAUUAGAUACCCUGGUAGUCCACGCCGUAAACGAUGAGUGCUAGGUGUUGGGGGGUUCCACCCUCAGUGCUGAAGUUAACACAUUAAGCACUCCGCCUGGGGAGUACGACCGCAAGGUUGAAACUCAAAGGAAUUGACGGGGGCCCGCACAAGCAGUGGAGCAUGUGGUUUAAUUCGAAGCAACGCGAAGAACCUUACCAGGUCUUGACAUCCUUUGACACUCUAGAGAUAGAGCUUUCCCCUUUCGGGGACAAAGUGACAGUGUGCAUGAUGUCGUCAGCUCGUGUCGUGAGAUGUGGUAGUCCCGCACGAGCGCACCCAUGACUAGUGCAGCAUCAGUGGGCACUCUAGUGACUGCGUGACAACGAGAGUGGGAUGACGUCAAUCAUCAUGCCGUAUGACCUGUCUAACACACGUGCUACAAAUGCAGUGUAAUCAAG